CAAUCGUGGACUCGAUUAUUUCCAUUAGUUUUACCUCCGGGUAGGUAGCUCGUUGUUCCUUCGUGUUAGCCAAAAUGCCGGCUCAUUGCAUUGCUGGACAUUGCUUGAACACUCGGGAGAAUGGAAUUACCCUUCAUAAGUUUGAAAGAGACCCUGUUCGUUGUGAAAAAUGGAUUGCACGGGUCCAGAGGACGAGAGCUUCGUGGGUUCCAAAUAACAGAGUCAAGCUUUUAAACCUGACAUUUGGUCCUUCGAGCCGGAUCCCAACACACCACCGCCCAUCAAGGAGGGAGAAGACACAACGAAGUCUGUCGACAGCCAGGAGCAUUGAGCUGUUCCUGAAGAAAAGCCCUGGUGGGACGUGAAUUCGCGUCCAGGCCGGUGUUAAGAGUCCAAUCUCCCCUCGGUGGACGAAGGUUGACGGGAUCACGAACAACUGGCAUCCAGACAACGCGUGAACCGGUAAGUGAAGGCUACUCCGCCAGAAGGAGGUUGAAGGCUACUCCGCCAGAAGGAGGUUGAAGGCUACUCCGCCAGAAGGAGGUUGAAGGCUACUCCGCCAGAAGGAGGUUGAAGGCUACUCCGCCACAAAGAGGUUGAAGGCUACUCCGCCAGAAGUAGGUUUUAAGGUUACUCCAUCUUUAAAGAGGUUAUUUAUUAGGAUCCAUAAAUGUGUGAGUGAGUGAAUGCAAGUGUGAAUGCCAUUACUUGUGGAAUCAUAGGUCACGGAUGGAAACCUAACGGUGCUAACAGAAGUCCGUGAUCCGGUGAAGUACACAAGGUAGUGGAUUAGGACUUGGGUCCCAAAAAGGACAAGUACUCUGUACGGGACAAAUAUAGAAAAACAUAAUGGUGAGCGGGAAUAAUAAGUCUGCCCUGUCAUUCUCCUGGCAUCCUCCCCAGGCUGGGUGUGGUCAGCCAAUUAGUCGGGACACACCUGCACCCUGGUUUGGGCUGAGUACACCCGGUACUUAUAGGACACGGGGGACAACUACUCCCCCGCCAGAUCGUUGAGCUUCAUGUCCCGUUCCAGCACUCUCGUAUCCCUGAUCGACAACCUGUGUGUACCAACCUUCGCCUGUUCUCCGACUCACCCCGUAAGCCUGACUCCCUCGAUACUUCUGCGUGCUUCGAACGUUCUCCUGUAUACCUGACCUGCCGUGUACCGACCCUCGCCUGUCCCCGGACCAUCCAAAGCUGGUGAACGAACCAAUCACGAUGGGGUUGUGGCUUUCGGGGUGUGACAGUGACAAGUCCUGAUGCAAGCUGAGAAACAUUUUUCAUUGAGUGAAAGUUAGUAAUAUUGCCAUGGAGAAAAUUAUUAGUUUUGCGCACAACCUGUUUACACCAGCUUUAUCUUAUUUUGUGUUUAAAAAAAAAAAAGACUAGAAUCACUGAGGGGGUAGUGGUACACGCGUCUGCCUUUGGUAUGGGCAGUAUGGGAUCGAUUCCCGCUCAGUGAUGGUGCCGAUAUCUGCCCUGUGACUGACUGGUGACAAAUUCAGGGUGUAGUCCACCUUUUGCCCGAAUUUAGCUGGAAUCGGCUUCAGCUUUCGUGAAACUCUUGUGAGUAUAAGCGGCUUAAAAAAUGACACGUUAUGACAAAUUGUGUGCAUGUGCGCUGAGGCUGCAUCCCAGCCUCAGCCAGAAUGUGCCUUCAGUGGCCCUGAUGUGAAUGGACUUUUGAGACCACUGAUAUACAUAAUAAGGGGAAAACCUGUAUUUAAAAAAAAAAAAAAAAAAAUGAAAAAAAUCUGUUUAAAACAUUGACAAUUUUGAGUCAUCGGCCUUGCCAUGUCUCGACAAGAGAGAUGGUAGUGGUAGAUAUUAUACAGACAUUUUCGCACCUUUGGAUUCAAUUCCUACUCAAAAAAUUUUUGUAGAUCAUGUCUUAAUUGCUACAAACUCAAUACUCAAGGGAACCGCAGACCUAAGAGAAGGCAGUUUCCCCAGGUAGUCAGCCUUUCCAGUUUUUACACAUUAAUUUUAAUUGAGUUAAACAGCAUUACAAAUGAAGUUUAGUAUUGAUCUGGCCCUUAUCUAAAUGGGUGGAGAUUUUUCCAUGUACAAGUCCUGAUGCUAUUCCUGUGGCAAAGUUCUUGUGUAAAUAUAUUAUUCCUUCUCAUGCCAUCCCAGAAAAAUUGUAUGGCACAAUGUGCCAUAUUUUGUGAAUGAAAAAAAAAAUAGUCAUGUAUCUGCAAAUCUAGAAAUAACUUAAUAAAAUAAAAAAAAUGUGCAGAAUUAGUGGAACGAAGCAAUGGGACGGUGAAGUCUUGAUUAAGGAAAACUACAUUUCGUAAAACUGUAUAUGAAAAUAACCCCAACAGAUAAAGGAUUGUUCCCAUUUGAAAUAGUAUAUAGUAGAUUAGAUUCGAUUAGACUGCCCAUGGUAGAGCGGCCAGUGCAGCAGUCAGAAGAAAAUACUUUAAGUGAUUGGGUGAAAGAGAUGCUGCUAAAUAAAACUGUAAAAGAAGCAAAUGAUCUGCCGCCUACUGUGCCUUCUUCACAGGUGCUGUUGGUGUCCAUUGGUGAUUGGGUCCUGAGAAAAAUCAUCAAGAGGAAGUGUUGGUCCUCACCUCGCUGGGAUGGUCCACUCCCACGGUGAUAAAGAUAGCAGAACGUCCCACAUGGAUACACUUGUCCCACUGCAAGCCUGUGGCUCCCUUUCCAUUCAACGACGAGUAGCGGUGGAAGUCCGGCUACAAAGGGUGGGGUAGCAAUAGAAUUCAGCUGAUCCGCGCUUGAGCAUGUUAGUUAAAGGAGAGCCACUAUUGGGACUGCUGGCCUUCGUGCUGUUCGGACCAUGGCUCCUCCGCACUGGCCAGUCUGGGACUGUACGUGUUUAUCACUGGAUCUAUGGACAUGAAUCAUCAUGGCGCAAGGACAAUCCCACCUCUCCAAUGGACGCCAACACCUGGUACUCUUAUGUGAAUAUGGUGUCCCUCUGUGGACAACCAAUGACAGAUCAACAAGUGUGGUGAAGCUGGAACUACUCAGAUGCCCCGCCAUGAAAAGAAGUGGGCAGCAGCGACGAGUCCGACAAUGCCAGCAAUUCCACCUACUGGUCUCAGACUUCAUGCCAGGCCAGGAGAGGAUGCAGAGAGAAACCAUCUGAGGUCUUCAGGACAGACCUGAUCACCACAAUGAAGGUGCAUGACUCGUACCAGCUCAACGCAGAGGAUUACUACGUCCUGGCCGAUCCAUAGAAGCAGAAGCGAGAAAAAGGGUAUCCACGUGCCCAUUAGCCCGCAGUCCAUCCCGGAGCCCAUGGUGCUAACUGACAAAAGCAAGGAUGUCAUAUUCAUCAGGCCCAAGAAGCUGAUCCGCACAUCUGCCACCCUGGUCCUCAGUUAUGUGGACAUCAGGACUUUGGCGGAGGGUGUGUGUCACUACGACCUCAACGAGGAAGAUGUCACCUGGCUGCAGGUCAUCGACGAGGAGUUUGCAAGGUUUCCCUUCUUCCACUGGAUGAAUUCGCCAUAGAGUGUUGAGCACCGUUGUCAUAACAACAUGACACACACUACCGAGACACAGUAAGGCCUUGGUAUCGAGUACAACGAGAACGUGGUGUGCGACGUGCCAGUUCCCCAACGGAGAGGACGACAACGAGAUGGUGUUCUGCAACAAGUGCAAUAUCUGCGUCCACCAGGUAUCCUGCCAAAGUGCCAGUUGUGCCCGAAAACGGGCGAUGCUAUGAAGCCCACCCGCAGUGGAACCAAGUGGGUCCAUGUCAGCUGUGCCUUGUGGAUCCCAAAGAUGAACAAUGGGAACCUGGACAAGAUGGAGCACGUCACCAACAUGUCGCACACUCCCAGAAACAGCCUCCACUCCAGCCUGGAGAGACCAUCAUCACUCAGAACGACAAAGUCAAGGUCAAGUACUACUGGCCCAAGCACUCGGGCCUUAAAGGCAGUGACUCUGUGGAGCGGGACUCCACCACUGAAGUUGAAAAUGAGGAAAGUGUCGGGAGCAAGAAGGGCAAAUUGAGAGGAAAGGUUGGAAGGGACAAUAAAGAGGACUUGGCCGCCCUCUGCCUCAUCCCUUUCGUCUCGUCGUCCUUGUGUCUUGUUUGUAAAUGUGACCCGCAGGAAAAGCGUGUCAAGGUCCGCAAGAUGAAAUUGCAAGAGAUGGAGGAGGUAUUCUACCAGUUUGUGGACACCGAGAAAGUGGGCCGUUACCUCAAGAUGACACCCAAGACAGUUGACUUCCUGUACCAGUACUAGAAGCUGAAGCACAAAGCUAAUUUCAACCAGCUGCUGCUCAUGCCUAAGAAGGACGAGGAGGACACCCUGGCCAGACGUGAACACGAGGUGUUGCUGAGAUGACUGCAGCUAUUCAAGCAACUCAGCCAAGACCUGGAGAGGGUGUCCAACCUGACUUGCAUGGUGAUGAAGAUGUAAAGACUGUUGUUUGGAAAAAUACAAGGAAUGGAGUGCAGGACAAUGGCCUGAUUUUAAAUGGACAAGGACUCUGCACUGUCACCAGCAAAGCUGAAGAAUCUCUUCUGUGUUUGCCCUUAUAUGCCAUGGGGCGCAAAAGUCUGCAUGACUGUCCCAAUCACCAGCGAGGGUUUCAUCUCAAAUCACGGCUUCCACUGUCAGUGGAGGCUGCGUGUUUAUCUCAACAUCAACCAUUGCCUUUCUCCUUACAUGUUUCGCGACUCCAGUACCAAGAAUAUCUGCACUAGACUUGGUUGGGCUGCUGUGUAUCCGCACACGUUGGGUUCAGAAAGUAGCAACGAUGUUCACCGACUGUUUAUUUAUGAUGAUGAUGAUGAUGAUGAUGAUUAUUAUUAUUUAUUACUAUUAGUCCUGGUUCACCUCCGGACCUGGGUAUUUUGUUAUGAAGUUCGUUGUAUCCGUAAUUAUUGUUCUGGGUUUGUUCUGCCUUUUCACGAUGUGUAUAAUCACACAUUUGAAAUCUAUGAUGGUUCGAGCAAGGUCAAAUGUUUUUGUGAAUUAUGCCCUUCUACAACAAGUAGACCGUGAUUAUAUGCAGCUACUGCCAAAAGAAAGCAUCUGAUGCCCCUUUGUCCGCUCGAUUGUAAAUGAUGUACUUUCUGUAAAUGCAACAGCAUUCUGAUGUCCCCACUCGUAUUUCCAAAAUGAUAAACAGGAGGGAAAUGUUAAAAUAAGAAUCCAUAUGUUCUCAUUUUGUUCAAACUGUAGUUGGUUACACAUCACCACCAAGCCUGUACCUUUGAACUCACUGUCUUGAUGUAAUCACUCUAACUUGAUGUAAUCAAUCUAGCAGAUGAAAACACUCAAACAGUCUGACACGUCUUAGUUUAUGUGUCGCAAGCCUUCAAUGGUUGUGACACACUCACACACACUCAUGUGAUUCACUGAAUAAAAAAAAGCUGCAAGGAGACAAAAGGUGGAGUUGGUUGGAAGCAGGGAAGUCCUGUCGCUCCCCUUGCAGCAAGUAAAACUUGAAGCCUUGUCUGUUCGCCUUCUUUUAAUAGAGUCAAACUUUUAAAUUUGACAAGGGGCACGACACAAAGCAGCUCAUCCAGACUUUGCGCUUGACAAUCUUGCGCUACCCUGGGAUAACGGUUUGCUUUCUUAACACAAUUGUGAUUGCACCAUGGACGUAAUCAGAACAGUAGUUUCUUUUAGUGAAUAAUUUAUGCUCUUUUUUUAUUUCCAUGUCUAUGGCAUCAUUUUAUACUUUACAAAAUCAUCUCUCAUGCCGGAUUAAAUGAAUUUGCAGGCCCGAUUUGGUGUAUGGGCCGUACGAUUGGCACCCUUGUUGUAGACCUUUGGGCAAAUAUGAGGAAUAUUGUAUUAGAAGUAAUAGGAGGAAGGACUUGAUACGUGGUAUGUUGUUUCACUCUCAAUCUGUUUUGUGAAUGUGUAAACACACUAAUGUUCACCUUUCAUUGAGUCGCUGUUCAAAGUCACUGAACAGCAGUGAUGAGUGGUGGGAUUUUCAACAUGGCGGCAUUAUAUACUUUUAUUAGGCCUGGCCAAUGGAAAAAAAAUGUUUUUAGUGUGAUUAAUUGCACCAGAUCCAUCCAUCUAUUUUAUCCUCACAGUGGACAUGGGAGUGCUGGCGCUUAUCCUAGCUAUCUUUGGCAGAAGGCGGGGUAAACCCAAAUCUGGCUGCUAUUCAAUCUCAGGGCACACAGAAACAAACAACCAGUCACAGUUACAAUCUCAUCUAAGGGCGCUUUACUUAGAGUCUCCAAUUAAUAUGUUUUGGGAUGUGAGAGGAAUCCGGAGUGCCCAGAGAAAACCAACCCAGGCACGGGAGAACAUGGAAACUCUACACAGGCGGGGGCGGGAUUGGAACCCCGGUCAUCAGAACUGUGAAGGCGGAGGGUCUAACAUGUUGCGCCACCAUGCGCCAAAUAAUUGAAAGUGCACUUUUAUUUUAAAUGUACUUUCAUAUGAACGAAAGUGACAUAACAAGCGUCUCCAGCUCAUUGUCUCGCCUGCCAUCUCCCAGUGGAUCUAAACCUUCCUGACAACCAGAACACAGCAAGUGAGGUUGGGGGACACUACCUCAUCCACAUAUCAGGUAUCAGCACCAGGGAAACCCAAGGUUAUGUCCUCUUCUCUGCUCUUCUCGCGGUACAAAUACGACUCUACCUCGAGGCACCCGUCUGUUAAACUCAUGAAGUUCGCAGAUGACACCACAGUCCUCAGCUUCAUCAAAGGUGGCGACAAAUUUGCGUAUCGACGGCAGGUGGCGAGACUAGAACUUUGGUGUGGCCAAUUGAUCCUUGCGUUGAACACUUUAAAGACUGUAGAAAAGAUUAUGGACUUCAGGAGGCAUCCUUCACCACAGCUGCCCCUCACAAUGUUCAACUGUUUUCAGUCAACCGUCGAGACCUUCAAGUUCUUGGGAAUUACAGUCUCACAGUACCUGAAGUGGGAAACGAAUAUCAACUCCAUCCUCAAAAAAGCCCAGUAAAAGAUGUACUUCUUGGGGCUUCUGAGGAAGCAUGGCCUGUCACAACAGCUGCUGGGACAGUUCUACAUAGCGGUCAUCCUAUCAGUUCUGUUUACCUCCAUUACAUUUCUGGUUUGGGUCCAACACAAAAUAUGAUGAACUCUGAGUGCAACAGACAAUCAAAACUGCUAAACCGAUUGUCGGCAACAUCCUAUCCACCCUUGAAGACUUGCACGCCACUUUAACUAGGACCAGAGUGGACAGGAUCCUUUCGGACCCUCAACAUCUUGUUCACCAGCUGUUCCAGCUCUUUCUGUUUGGUAAGCGCUACCAAUCAAUGCAAAUUAAAACUAUCAGGCAUUCAAACAUUUUUUUUUCCCUCGUGCAAUCAAGUAAUUAAAUUCUUGAUUAGCGAACCUCCUAUUUUCUGCCUUGAGCUGUUGUUGGGACAUACCUUCAAAUCCUGCUGGUCCCUGGACCUCAGAAGGGUGAGACCAACGCUCUCCAGCUGCGCCACUGUGCCGCCCAUUAUUAACAUUUAAGAUGAUAAACAGGCUCUCUUCUACUGCACAAAAUGACCAGUCAUAGAAAAACCUUAAAUAGGGAAUGUGUAAGUUUUCCCUUUACCUCAGUUAUGGAUUUGGUUGUGCUAUCAAUUUUGCAUCUCUGCCUCCAUCAGUACCCUCAACACCCACCCUCUCUUCCCUUCAAUAUUCAUAGCUUCUGAGUGGAAGCACGACUAGCUUUAGUUACUCCUUCGUUAUAGGAAUAUCAUUUUAUAGUCAUGUUUAUUUUAUUUAGUUUUUAAGUCAGCUGUCUAAAUGAUGAUGAUUGUCAAAGCAUUUUUUUUUGUAAUUCAUAUCUGAGACGGCUCCAGAAAAACCGCAGCCUUUAUCACACACUGCAAGUUUCAUUUUAUCAAUCACACUUGCAUAAAAGGUUCCAAACAUUUGUAUUUUUAGUUUGAAAAAAAAUAAUUAAAAAUUAAAUUCAAAAUGUCGUGUUUUGGUACAGUAAUGACAAAUUUUAUACUAUGCCUAAUUUUAUUGUGUUCCUGUACUUUCAAUUGUGAAUUAAUGAUAAAGAACAACAAGUGGUGUGAAACUAAACAUUUUUCCAUGAAUCCUAUCAUGCUGUUUUCU